rnacentral:rRNA from 1 species
UACGUAGGGGGCAAGCGUUGUCCGGAUUUAUUGGGCGUAAAGAGCGUGUAGGCGGCCAAGCAGGUCCGCUGUGAAAACUCGAGGCUCAACCUCGAGACGUCGGUGGAAACCGUUUGGCUAGAGUCCGGAAGAGGAGAGUGGAAUUCCCGGUGUAGCGGUGAAAUGCGCAGAUAUCGGGAAGAACACCCGUGGCGAAGGCGGCUCUCUGGGAGCGGUACUGGACGCUGAGACGCGAAAGCGUGGGGAGCGAACGAGG